GACAGAGGGUGCAAACGUUGUUCGGAAUUACUGGGCGUAAAGCGCGUGUAGGCUGCUCGGAAAGUCAGGUGUGAAAGCCCUGGGCUCAACCCCGGAACUGCCCUUGAAACUGCAGUGCUAGAAUUCUGGAGAGGCGAGUGGAAUUCCCGGUGUAGCGGUGAAAUGCGCAGAUAUCAGGAGGAACACCGGUGGCGAAGGCGGGUCUCUGGGCCGUAACUGACGCUGAGGAGCGAAAGCAUGGGGAGCGAACAGG
rnacentral:rRNA from 1 species